GUGAUGUGGCCAGGCGCUGCCGACUUGUGAGGAAAGCUCGAGAGGGCUGA
rnacentral:snoRNA from 2 species